UGGAUCCAGACUUUGAUUCUGGCUCAGGAUGAACGCUAGCUACAGGCUUAACACAUGCAAGUCGAGGGGAAACGACAUCGAAAGCUUGCUUUUGAUGGGCGUCGACCGGCGCACGGGUGAGUAACGCGUAUCCAACCUGCCCACCACUUGGGGAUAACUUUGCGAAAGUAAGACUAAUACCCAAUGAUAUCUCUAGAGGACAUCUGAAAGAGAUUAAAGAUUUAUCGGUGAUGGAUGGGGAUGCGUUUGAUUAGCUUGUUGGCGGGGUAACGGCCCACCAAGGCAACGAUCAGUAGGGGUUCUGAGAGGAAGGUCCCCCACAUUGGAACUGAGACACGGUCCAAACUCCUACGGGAGGCAGCAGUGAGGAAUAUUGGUCAAUGGACGAGAGUCUGAACCAGCCAAGUAGCGUGCAGGAUGACGGCCCUAUGGGUUGUAAACUGCUUUUAUAAGGGAAUAAAGUGAGUCUCGUGAGACUUUUUGCAUGUACCUUAUGAAUAAGGACCGGCUAAUUCCGUGCCAGCAGCCGCGGUAAUACGGAAGGUCCGGGCGUUAUCCGGAUUUAUUGGGUUUAAAGGGAGCGUAGGCCGGAGAUUAAGCGUGUUGUGAAAUGUAGACGCUCAACGUCUGCACUGCAGCGCGAACUGGUUUCCUUGAGUACGCACAAAGUGGGCGGAAUUCGUGGUGUAGCGGUGAAAUGCUUAGAUAUCACGAAGAACUCCGAUUGCGAAGGCAGCUCACUGGAGCGCAACUGACGCUGAAGCUCGAAAGUGCGGGUAUCGAACAGGAUUAGAUACCCUGGUAGUCCGCACGGUAAACGAUGGAUGCCCGCUGUUGGUCUGAAUAGGUCAGCGGCCAAGCGAAAGCAAUUAAGCAUCCCGCCUGGGGAGUACGCCGGCAACGGUGCA
rnacentral:rRNA from 1 species